rnacentral:lncRNA from 1 species
CUGUGGCUGUGGUAGAUGCCUGGAGCUGCAGCUUUGAUUCGAUCCCUAGCCUGGGAACUUCCAUAUGCCAUAGGUGUGGCCAUAAGAAAAAAAAAAGAAAGAGAAAAAAGAAGAAAAAAGUGGAGUAAGCAUAGCAUGGGCAACUAUCCUCAAAAUUUGUAAUAAUCUAUAAGGGAAAAGAAUCUGAAAAAGUUUAUGUAUGUAUAACUUAAUCACUGGGUUGUACACCAAAAACUAACACAUUGUUAAUCAACUCCACUUCAGUAAAAAAAUAAAAUAUAAUAAAAUUUUAAAAAAGUGGAGUGAGUUAAAAUUGAGAAAGGAAGUCUUUUACACAACUACGGUCUUAAUGAGUGUAUGUCUUUCUUAAGCUACAUGGGACAUUCUUUUCUGGCUUAAGUUGAAUGAGUUUUGUGGUCACAUUAUCAGCAAAGAUAGUAGAUUUAGUUGAAAUGAAGCAUUGUUAAAGGAUUCUGUUUCUAGUCCUUCAGGAGACCCCACCUGGUCUGUUUAUUCCUAUUCCCAGAGACUGUAAAUCCUAAACCUGGCACCUUGCUCUCCCUCCAGCAAAAUCUUAUAGACAGUCUAAGAUUUCCUUUUUUGUUGUUGUUGUUUCUUUAAUUUGGAAUAUAACUCACAAGUGUGCUGAGUCACAGAAGACUUCAGAAAAAUAUUCAAAGGUACCUCUUUCACAACACAGGGAAAACUUCCCAAAUGAGCGGUUUUGGAGUUCCCGUCCUGGCUCAGUGGUAACAAACCCAACGAGGAUCCAUGAGGAUACAUGUUCAAUCCCUGGCCUCACUCAGUGGGUUAAGGAUCCAGUGUUGCCACAAGCUGUGGUGUAGGUCAGAGAUGUGGCUCGGAUCUUGCAUUGUUGUGGCUGUGGUGCAGGCUGGUAGCUAUAGCUCUGAUUCAACCCCUAGCCUAGGAACUUCCAUAUGCUAGGGGCACAGCACCUCCCCCCCCCAAAAAAAAGCCAAAUUAGAACUUUAGUUUCUUUCUUUCUUUUUUGUCCCAAGCCUGCAGCAUGCAGAAGUUCUGGGGCCAGAGAUUGAACCUGUGCUAUAGCUGCAACCCAAUCCACAGAUCCACAGCAAUAGCAAUGCUGGAUCCUUAACCUGCCACCAGGGAACUCUAGCGCUUUGGUUUCUAUAGGACUUCCAAAGAAAAGAUUAACUUCAUCUGGGGCGGGGUGGGGGUAUUCUCUCUAUGCCUAGGAACCAGGUGAAAUUUUUAGGAUGUGAAAGGCUAAGGAUAUUACCUUUCUCUGCCUGGAAAGGGUUGUUAAGUAAAAGCUCACCAUUCCACACACAAAUGUAUGUUUAAUGUCAACAAGAUGCUGAGAUACUGAGCUUGGCUCUGAGAUUCUCCCCCUCCAGAGGCUUUCGCUCCGUAGGUGAGUCCAACAAGGAGACAGGUAACUAUAAUACAGUGUCACAACUAUGAUAGGGUGUUGAGGGGGCCUGUGGAAGGAACACCAACUCUAGCUUUUGAGAUCAGAUCUUCCCACCUGCCCAGGAAGAAGUGUGUGACAGAGUGGCGUCAUCUAACUGAUGAUAAAUAAAGUGACUUAGGGUGCGUUAUCAUCCCUGUGUUGACACGUGCUCAGUUUCAUGGAAAGAGUCUAGCUCCCCAGCAAGGUGAAGCAAGCAUGUGUCCAUUUACUCUUAAGGAUAAAUGGGUGAAAACAUAGUAAAUGAUCUGAUUUUAUUGAUUUUUGGGGGGCCACGCCUGCAGCACAUGGAAAUCCCCAGGCCACGACUGAACUCUUGCCACAGUCGUGAAAACAUUAUGUCCUUAACCUGAUAGGCCACCAGGGAAAUCCAUGAUCUCAUUUAUUUUAAAAGGAAAUGCUACUAUUCACAAUGGAAACAACCUAAAUGUCCAUCGGCUGAUGAAUGGAUAAAGAUGUGUUGUAUAUAAUGAGCAGAGUACUCAGCCCUAAAAAGAAUGGAAAUAACGCCAUGGAUACGAGUAGAGAUUAUCAUCCUAAAUGGAGUAAGUUAGAAAGAGAGAGACAAAAUCAUAUGGUAUCACUUAUAUGUGGAAGCUAACAUAUGGCACACACGCACCUGUCUAUAAGACAGAGACUCACAGACAUAGAGAGCAGACUUGUGGUUGCCAAGGCGGGGAGAGGGGAGGCAGAGGGAUGGAGUGGGAGUUAGGGGUGAGCAGAUACAAACUAUCAUGUUUAGAAUGGAUAAGCAAUGAGUCCUUCUGUAUAGCACAGGGAACUAUAUCCAAUCUCCUGGGGUAGAUAGACCAUGAUGGAAAAGAAUAUAGAAAAGACUAUAUAAGAAGAAUAUAGAAAAGACUACAUAGGAGUUCCCGUUGGGGCGCAGCAGGAACAAAUCUGACUAGGAACCAUGAGGUUGUGGGUUUGAUCCCUGGCCUUGCUCAGUGGGUAAUGGAUCUGGCGUUGCCAGGAGCGGUGGUGUAGGUCACAGACGCAGCUUGAAUCUGGCUUGAGUCUGGCAUUGCUGUGGCUCUGGUGUAGGCUGGUAGCUGUAGCUCCGAUUAGACCCCUAGCCUGGGAACCUCCAUAUGCCUCAGGUGUGGCUCUAAAAAGACAAAAGGCAAAAAAAAAAAAGAAAAGAAAAGACUGUACAUAUGUAUAACUGAGUCACUUUGCCAUGCAGUAGAAAUUGGCACAAUUUUUUUUAAUAGUGAUUUUUAUUUUUUCCAUUAUAGCUGGUUUACAGUGUUCUGUCAAUUUUCUACUGUACAGCAUGGUAACCCAGUUACACAUACAUGUAUACAUUCUUUUUUCUUGCAUUAUCAUGCUCCAUCAUAAGAUUUUUUUUUUGUUUUGUUUUGUUUUUUAAUGGCCACACCUACAGCAUAUGGAAGGAAGUUCCCGGACCAGAGGUCAAAUCGGACCCCUAGUCUACACGAUAGCCACAGCCACAGCAACAAUGGAUCUGGGCUUCAUCUGUGACUUACACCACAGCUUGGGGUAAUGCUGGAUCCUGAGCGAGGCCAGGGAUUGAAUCUACAACCUCACGGACACCAUGUUCUUAACCUGCUGAGCCACAACACGAACUCCUGGCACAACAUUACAGAUCAAUUAUAAUAAAAAUUUUUAAAUAAUAAAGAGCACCCAAUUUCAAAAGAAAAUGCUAUAUGCAUAAUUAGUUAGGAGUGGAGUUCCCGCCAUAUCAUAGUGGGUUAAGAAUCAGAUUGCAACAGCUCAAGUCACUGUGGAGGUGCAAGUUUGAUCCCCGCCCCAGCACCAGCACAGUGGGUUAAAGGAUCCAGUGUUGCCACAGCUGCAGUGUAGGUUGCAGGCACAGCUUGGAUUUAACCCCUGACUUGGGUACUUUCAUAUACCUAGGGUGCAGCCUUUAAAAAAUAGUUAGGAGUGGUCUUUAUCUCCAAGACAGAGUAAAUAAACCCUUUAAAGAGCAAAAUAUCUACCUUAAUACAGUAAGAAGUGAUCAAGACAGGAUUGGGGAAAAGAGUGCCUUCGGUGUAGCUAGAGAAACAUGACAUUUGGAAGAGAUUUAGCCUUCACUGUGGAGGCAUGGAUUGGUCUGACAUUUUUUUCUUAUUGUGACAGUUUUUUUGGGGGGUUGGGGGUUAUGCAGGUAUGGCAUAUGGAGGUUCCCAGGCUGGGGGCUAAUCAUAACUACAGCUGCCAGCCAACACCUACACUCUACCAGCUAGAUCUUAGCCACAUCUAUCUCCAAGCUACACCACGGCUCACUGGCAAUGCCUUAUCCUUAACUCACUGAGCAGAGCCACGGAUCAAACCUGCAUCCUCAUGGAUACUAGUGGGGUUUGUUUCUGCUGAGCCACAACGGGAACUCUUUAUUGUGGCAGUUUUGAGAAGAUUACUUUUUAGAAUAUUUCCACUUGUUUGUCUACGAUAAAAAUAGUAUUAUGACUUCUGGAUUUGCU